rnacentral:lncRNA from 1 species
UUUAACUUAAAUAUUUCUUCUUUCUUUCUAAAUUCUGGCUUUCAUGUCUUACCAUUGUAGGCUAAUCUUAUUAGUACUGAAUUGAUGGGGAUAGUCUCUAUUCUGAAAAAGAAAGAUCGAGAGUCUACAAAGGCUAUCUCCGAGGCUAGAAAAAUUGCCAAGGAAACCCACCUUGAGGCAACGAACUGGAAGGAGCAGUUUGAGAAUGCUUAGAGGACCAUAGAGGAGUUGCAAGAAAGUAGAAAUCACCUGGAGCAGCAAAAGCGUGGUUUGACUUCUGAGCUAGCAGUUGCCAAGGCUUCUUCAAGCUAAUUUGAAAAAGAUAAGGAGAUUUUGGAGUGCUCAUUUUCAGAAUAUUUGUCAACGCCAGUGAAGAAAUCAGAAAGCUUGAGGCACUUGUGGAGAAGAAAGAAGAAUAUGCAGGGGAGUUAGUGCAAAGCUUGACUCAAGCUCAGGCUAACUUAAGGAUCUCCUCUGACAAGAUACGUGCCUUGGAGAGUUCUCGUGCCUCCCUUGAAGCUUCCCUUGAUUCUCGCUUAGCUGAACACCAGAUAUUAAAGAAUGAUCUUGCUAUGUGAGAAGGGGAGUAUGGACUUCUUGAGGAGAACUUCAAAAUAGAGGUAAGUUGGGAUUUUCUAAAAUCUCACCGUGAUGCUUUGAUGGAGGCUACUCAAGAAAACUUUGAUUUGCAAUCUGAAUUAGCCAAAGUCUUAGACACUAUUGAAAAA